AAUUCCCCAUCCAUGUAGCUUACAAAUAUCCUCCAUUGGUACAUUCUCAUGGUAGUAAUGAGUAAUUUCAAUAAAGGGCUUCGGAGGAGAUUGCCAGAGAGGACGGAGGAAGUAAGUAAUUUUCUGGCCAUGCAAGUAUGCACCAACUAUGAACAUUGGCACAAACACAACCAAAAAAAUGAGAGCCUUCAAAUCUAAUCCUCGAAGCAUACACCGUAGUCUUGACAUG
rnacentral:misc_RNA from 1 species